CCGCUUGCCCUGGAGCUGGAAUCCCGCCUCCUGCAGGCUGUUCUCCACAGUGUCUUCACCAUGGGCACUGGGCAGGACACCACCCACUUCCAGGCUCUACACAGGACCUAUUCACAGAGCCUGGACACCAUGCUCGGGGGCCUGCUGACAGAGACCCCCACUACGGACAAGCUGCAGCACCUCUUUGAGCACGUCCAUUUCUAGCUCCACUCCAAAAAGACCCAGGAGAGAGCUAGGGCCAUACAGAGCAGCGCAGCCC